rnacentral:rRNA from 1 species
UUUCGAUGGAGAGUUUGAUCCUGGCUCAGGACGAACGCUGGCGGCGUGCUUAACACAUGCAAGUCGAGCGGAAAGGCCCUUUCGGGGGUACUCG